rnacentral:pre_miRNA from 1 species
AGUGGGAUUACUGGGUAAAAUGUGGUUCCAUUUCAAGUUUUAUGAGGAAUCUCCAUAUUGCUUUCCAGAGUGGUUGCACCAAUUUGCAGUCCCACCAGCAAU